UACGUAGGCGGCCUAUUAAGCAAGAUGUGAAAGCCCCGGGCUCAACCUGGGAAUGGCAUUUUGAACUGGUAGGCUCGAGUUCUGAAGAGGGUGGUAGAAUUUCCAGUGUAGCGGUGAAAUGCGUAGAGAUUGGAAGGAAUACCGGUGGCGAAGGCGGCCACCUGGUCAGAAACUGACGCUGAGGUACGAAAGCGGUGGGGAGCAAACA
rnacentral:rRNA from 1 species